GUUGUAUGGUUAAGUGACUAAGCGUACACGGUGGAUGCCUUGGCAGUCAGAGGCGAUGAAGGACGUAUUAACUUGCGAUAAGCCCAGAUUAGGCAGUAAAAGCCACUUGAGUCUGGGAUUUCCGAAUGGGGAAACCCAACUGCAUAAGCAGUUACUGUUAACUGAAUACAUAGGUUAACA
rnacentral:rRNA from 1 species